ensembl:lncRNA
CCACAAUGGAAGGAAGGAAGAAAUACCAGAUCUGAAGCAAAAGUGGAGCUUGAGUUCCUCCUCACUCUCAAAGAUGAAAGCUUUAAGUACUGUUUAUCUGAUGAUGACAGUUUUGGUGGUCUAUCAGUUCUUGGACAGUUGUUUGAGAUUUUUCACUUAAAGUGACUUUGGCUGUCCACUGGAUCUUUCUGGCAACCUGGUGAGGGCUGGAUGAAUGAGCACCCGAGGGAGAGACUGAGACUGAUAGGGAUUAUUCUCUGGAUCCAUGAGCCCUGCUCUCUGGGCGGAUUGUCUGUUGCCUAAUCUUGUCUAAUUCAGCUG